UCGAGAUGUCUUAUUUAAGGGGAACGUAUG
rnacentral:piRNA from 2 species